UACGAAGGGGGCUAGCGUUGUUCGGAUUUACUGGGCGUAAAGCGCACGUAGGCGGAUCGUUAAGUCGGGGGUGAAAUCCUGGAGCUCAACUCCAGAACUGCCUUCGAUACUGGCGAUCUCGAGUCCGGAAGAGGUGAGUGGAACUCCUAGUGUAGAGGUGGAAUUCGUAGAUAUUAGGAAGAACACCAGUGGCGAAGGCGGCUCACUGGUCCGGUACUGACGCUGAGGUGCGAAAGCGUGGGGAGCAGACAGG
rnacentral:rRNA from 1 species